GUGUGUUUUAACUCAGGAAAAUCUACUUUCUUUGUUUCAUGUAUUCAGUAUUUGCUCUUUUCCUACUUCCUGAGGAAUCUGCCUGGUUUAUAUAUAAACACCUUAAGAGUAGAGCCUUUGUAUUCUUGUUCAGCGACUAAGUGUUCGACUCAGUUAGGGAUGCAAAUAUCUGUUGAAUUGAUGAAUGUAAAUUGGAGUAGAUGAUGAUGUGUUGGUUGUCUUGUUUGACAAGAGUAUUGCAGUUCUAUUUAAUGAUUCAUUUAAGGACAAAACUUAAUGGACAGUGCUGUUUUGACACUGUCAGUUGUUACAUGUUACUGUGUGUACACUUGUAAAGUUUUAUUGACAUUACUUUUUCUUUUUUGCUAGACUGAAUGCAUUUCUUGUGGUCUUAUUUAUUGUUGAUUAAGGGGUAGGGACCACCUCUGUAAGCAUAAUGUUCAGAAUAGUUGGUUAACUAAAUAAGUUUAAAAACUACUAAACUGUUUAAUGUACAUGACUUGGUAUAUGUGUAUGAGUCUCCUUGCAUUUAUUUGGCAGAGAAACUAAAACAUGGGAGUGAGGAUAUGGCAGAGUUCCUCUCUAUAUACAUACAUGUAGAAGAACUUAGCUAAUUUGUUUACA
rnacentral:lncRNA from 1 species